rnacentral:lncRNA from 1 species
ACUUUUUUUUUCAUUUUUAUGAUUAAAUAAAAAAAUUAAUGUAAUACAGAUUCCUGCAAAUAUAGUAAAUGAUAAAUAUAUUCCUACAAAGUUUAACUUUUAUAUCUUAUCCCUACAAAAAUCCUAAUAUUUUUCGUUAGAAAAUUUUAAUUAACCAUAUAUUAAAUACUUAACCCUGAUUAGUUUUUAAUAUUUUAACCCCUCUUAUAUUACACUAUUAUGGUUUUUGGAGGUUAUAUUUGUGAUGGUAAAAUUGAAAAUAUAAAUGGUGCUCUAAAUAUUCUCUAACGAUACCAAACCAGCGAGACAGAUUUGAAAAUAGCAGAUCUUUUGUAAAAAAAAAAAAUAAAAAUUAAACUUUUUAGGGAUAUAUUUAUUAUUACUAUAUUUGUAGGGACCUAUAUAAAAUUAACACUAAACAA